GAUGAACGCUGGCGGCGUGCCUAAUACAUGCAAGUCGAACGAACAGACCAGGUGUUUGCUCCUCUGACGUUAGCGGCGGACGGGUGAGUAACACGUGGACAACCUACCUAUAAGACUGGGAUAACUUCGAGAAAUCGGAGCUAAUACCGGAUAAUAUAUUGAACUGCAUGGUUCAAUAGUUAAAGACGGUUUUGCUUUCACUUAUAGAUGGAUCCGCCCCGCAUUAGCUAGUUGGUGAGGGAGCGGCUUACCAAGGCAACGAUGCGUAGCCGACCUGAGAGGGAGAUCGGCGACACGGGAACUGAGACAGGGUACCGACACCGACGCGGGGCAGCAGUAGGGAAUCUUACGCAAAGGGCGAGAGCGUGACGGUGCAACGCCGCGUGAGUGAUGAAGAUCUCCGGAUGGGAGAGCUCUGUUAUUAGGGACGAAGAAAUGUGUAAGUAACUGUGCGCGUCUUGACGGUACCUGAACAAAAAGCCACGGCUAACUACGUG
rnacentral:rRNA from 1 species